AGGCUUUGAUCCUGGCUCAGGAUGAACGCUGGCGGUAUGCUUAACACAUGCAAGUCGAACGGGAUCUUCGGAUCUAGUGGCGGACGGGUGAGUAACGCGUAGGAAUCUACCCUUAGGAGGGGGAUAACGGUUGGAAACGACCGCUAAUACCCCGUAAGCCGAGAGGUAAAAGGAUUAAUUGCCUAGGGAUGAGCCUGCGUCUGAUUAGCUAGUUGGUGGGGUAAGAGCCUACCAAGGCGACGAUCAGUAGCUGGUCUGAGAGGACGAUCAGCCACACUGGGACUGAGACACGGCCCAGACUCUACGGGAGGCAGCAGUGGGGAAUUUUCCGCAAUGGGCGAAAGCCUGACGGAGCAAUACCGCGUGAGGGAAGACGGCUUUUGGGUUGUAAACCUCUUUUCUCUGGGAAGAAGCAAUGACGGUACCAUGAGGAAUCAGCAUCGGCUACAUC
rnacentral:rRNA from 1 species